UACGGAGGUCUCGAGCGUUGUUCGGAUUCAUUGGGCGUAAAGGGCGCGUAGGCGGCGGGGUAAGUCUGGUGUGAAAUCUCGGAGCUCAACUCCGAAACUGCACUGGAUACUGCUCUGCUAGAGGGCUGGAGAGGAGAUCGGAAUUCACGGUGUAGCAGUGAAAUGCGUAGAUAUCGUGAGGAAGACCAGUGGCGAAGGCGGAUCUCUGGACAGUUCCUGACGCUGAGGCACGAAGGUCAGGGGAGCAAACGGG
rnacentral:rRNA from 1 species